UGCAAGUCGAACGAACUUCCGUUAAUUGAUCAGGACGUGCUUGCACUGAAUGAGAUUUUAACACGAAGUGAGUGGCGGACGGGUGAGUAACACGUGGGUAACCUGCCCAGAAGCAGGGGAUAACACCUGGAAACAGAUGCUAAUACCGUAUAACAGAGAAAACCGCCUGGUUUUCUUUUAAAAGAUGGCUCUGCUAUCACUUCUGGAUGGACCCGCGGCGCAUUAGCUAGUUGGUGAGGUAACGGCUCACCAAGGCGAUGAUGCGUAGCCGACCUGAGAGGGUAAUCGGCCACAUUGGGACUGAGACACGGCCCAGACUCCUACGGGAGGCAGCAGUAGGGAAUCUUCCACAAUGGACGCAAGUCUGAUGGAGCAACGCCGCGUGAGUGAAGAAGGGUUUCGGCUCGUAAAGCUCUGUUGUUAAAGAAGAACGUGGGUGAGAGUAACUGUUCACCCAGUGACGGUAUUUAACCAGAAAGCCACGGCUAAACUACGUGCCAGCAGCCGCGGUAAUACGUAGGUGGGAAAGCGUUAUCCGGAUUUAUUGGGGCGUAAAGCGAGCGCAGGCGGUCUUUUAAGUCUAAUGUGAAAGCCUUCGGCUCAACCGAAGAAGUGCAUUGGAAACUGGGAGACUUGAGUGCAGAAGAGGACAGUGGAACUCCAUGUGUAGCGGUGAAAUGCGUAGAUAUAUGGAAGAACACCAGUGGCGAAGGCGGCUGUCUGGUCUGUAACUGACGCUGAGGCUCGAAAGCAUGGGUAGCGAACAGGAUUAGAUACCCUGGUAGUCCAUGCCGUAAACGAUGAUUACUAAGUGUUGGAGGGUUUCCGCCCUUCAGUGCUGCAGCUAACGCAUUAAGUAAUCCGCCUGGGGAGUACGACCGCAAGGUUGAAACUCAAAAGAAUUGACGGGGGCCCGCACAAGCGGUGGAGCAUGUGGUUUUAAUUCGAAGCUACGCGAAGAACCUUACCAGGUCUUGACAUCUUCUGCCAACCUAAGAGAUUAGGCGUUUCCCUUCGGGGACAGAAUGACAGGUGGUGCAUGGUUGUCGUCAGCUCGUGUCGUGAGAUGUUGGGUUAAGUCCCGCAACGAGCGCAACCCUUAUUACUAGUUGCCAGCAUUCAGUUGGGCACUCUAGUGAGACUGCCGGUGACAAACCGGAGGAAGGUGGGGACGACGUCAAAUCAUCAUGCCCCUUAUGACCUGGGCUACACACGUGCUACAAUGGAUGGUACAACGAGUCGCGAAACCGCGAGGUUUAGCUAAUCUCUUAAAACCAUUCUCAGUUCGGACUGUAGGCUGCAACUCGCCUACACGAAGUCGGAAUCGCUAGUAAUCGCGGAUCAGCAUGCCGCGGUGAAUACGUUCCCGGGCCUUGUACACACCGCCCGUCACACCAUGAGAGUUUGUAACACCCAAAGCCGGUGG
rnacentral:rRNA from 1 species